AUUCCGGUUGAUCCUGCCGGAGGCCAUUGCUAUCGGAGUCCGAUUUAGCCAUGCUAGUCGCGCGGGUUUAGACCCGCGGCAGAUAGCUCAGUAACACGUGGCCAAACUACCCUAUGGACGGAGAUAACCUCGGGAAACUGAGGCUAAUAUCCGAUACAGCUCGCACGCUGGAGUGCAGCGAGCUGGAAACGUUCCGGCGCCAUAGGAUGUGGCUGCGGCCGAUUAGGUAGACGGUGGGGUAAUGGCCCACCGUGCCGAUAAUCGGUACAGGUUGUGAGAGCAAGAGCCUGGAGACGGAAUCUGAGACAAGAUUCCGGGCCCUACGGGGCGCAGCAGGCGCGAAACCUUUACACUGCACGACAGUGCGAUAGGGGGACUCCGAGUGCGAGGGCAUACAGUCCUCGCUUUUCUGCACCGUAAGGUGGUACAGGAACAAGUGCUGGGCAAGACCGGUGCCAGCCGCCGCGGUAAUACCGGCAGCACGAGUGAUGGCCGAUUUUAUUGGGCCUAAAGCGUCCGUAGCCGGCCGAGCAAGUCUGUUGGGAAAUCCACGCGCUCAACGCGUGGGCGUCCAGCGGAAACUGUUCGGCUUGGGGCCAGAGGACUCGAGGGGUACGUCCGGGGUAGGAGUGAAAUCCCGUAAUCCUGGACGGACCACCGGUGGCGAAAGCGCCUCGAGAAGAUGGACCCGACGGUGAGGGACGAAAGCUUGGGUCUCGAACCGGAUUAGAUACCCGGGUAGUCCAAGCUGUAAACGAUGCUCGCUAGGUGUGCCGCAGGCUACGAGCCUGCGCUGUGCCGUAGGGAAGCCGAGAAGCGAGCCGCCUGGGAAGUACGUCUGCAAGGAUGAAACUUAAAGGAAUUGGCGGGGGAGCACUACAACCGGAGGAGCCUGCGGUUUAAUUGGACUCAACGCCGGACAUCUCACCNGCAAGGAUGAAACUUAAAGGAAUUGGCGGGGGAGCACUACAACCGGAGGAGCCUGCGGUUUAAUUGGACUCAACGCCGGACAUCUCACCAGCACCGACAACGGUAAUGAUGGUCAGGUUGAUGACCUUACCCGACGCCGUUGAGAGGAGGUGCAUGGCCGCCGUCAGCUCGUACCGUGAGGCAUCCUGUUAAGUCAGGCAACGAGCGAGACCCGCNUUACCCGACGCCGUUGAGAGGAGGUGCAUGGCCGCCGUCAGCUCGUACCGUGAGGCAUCCUGUUAAGUCAGGCAACGAGCGAGACCCGCAUCCUUAAUUGCCAGCAGCAUCCUUGUGAUGGCUGGGUACAUUAGGGAGACCGCCACGGCUAACGUGGAGGAAGGAACGGGCAACGGUAGGUCAGCAUGCCCCGAAUGUGCUGGGCAACACGCGGGCUACAAUGGCCGGGACAGUGGGAAGCNGCCACGGCUAACGUGGAGGAAGGAACGGGCAACGGUAGGUCAGCAUGCCCCGAAUGUGCUGGGCAACACGCGGGCUACAAUGGCCGGGACAGUGGGAAGCUAAUCCGAGAGGAUACGCUAAUCCCCUAAACCCGGUCGUAGUUCGGAUUGAGGGCUGAAACUCGCCCUCAUGAAGCUGGAUUCGGUAGUAAUCGCGUGUCAGAAGCGCGCGGUGAAUACGUCCCUGCUCCUUGCACACACCGCCCGUCAAAUCANAUCACCCGAGUGGGGUCCGGAUGAGGCCAUCAUGCGAUGGUCGAAUCUGGGCUCCGCAAGGGGGAUUAAGUCGUAACAAGGUAGCCGUAGGGGAAUCUGCGGCUGGAUCACCUCCU
rfam:Halosimplex carlsbadense 2-9-1 contig_6, whole genome shotgun sequence.